rnacentral:lncRNA from 1 species
UUAAUGCAUCUUGCUCAUGGUCUCUUGUGUACUGAAUCAUGGAUAUACACACUUGAGUUGUCACAUCCUUUAUGCCAAUCUUUUUUGUCAAACUCUAGUGGUACACCAUUCCCAAAAUCCCUUCCUCCUUUUAAGCUUUUAUUAUUUGAUGAGUGAGGUCUUUUUCGGAAAGCCUUACAUGUGCAUAAUGUUGAGAGUAUCGGGAACGACAAUGCUUGGUCUUCAUUUUUGCUAGAUUAGGCACUCUAUUGUCUAGCUAUAGGUGGGGGUGAGUGUGGUGACUAUGGUUUGGAAGCAUGAAAAGUUCAAAGGAAAAGAAUAGACUCUUUGUGUUUAAAUGGAUAAUCUUAUUGGAAUUAAUAGAUAAACGUCUAGCUCGAGCUUAUGAAAAGUCUUGGCCCCCGAAAAAAAAAAGAGAAAAAGAAAGAAAAAAGGGGCUAGCAAAGUUGUUUAGAGCUAAGAUUUGUUUAGAAGUUGAGAA